AGUGAACGCUGGCGGUAGGCCUAACACAUGCAAGUCGAACGGCAGCACAGUAAGAGCUUGCUCUUACGGGUGGCGAGUGGCGGACGGGUGAGGAAUACAUCGGAAUCUACUUUUUCGUGGGGGAUAACGUAGGGAAACUUACGCUAAUACCGCAUACGACCUACGGGUGAAAGCAGGGGAUCUUCGGACCUUGCGCGAUUGAAUGAGCCGAUGUCGGAUUAGCUAGUUGGCGGGGUAAAGGCCCACCAAGGCGACGAUCCGUAGCUGGUCUGAGAGGAUGAUCAGCCACACUGGAACUGAGACACGGUCCAGACUCCUACGGGAGGCAGCAGUGGGGAAUAUUGGACAAUGGGCGAAAGCCUGACCGAGCCAUACCGCGUGGGUGAAGAAGGCCUUCGGGUUGUAAAGCCCUUUUGUUGGGAAAGAAAAGCAGCAGGUUAAUACCCCGCUGUUUUGACGGUACCCAAAGAAUAAGCAACGGCUAACUUCGUG
rnacentral:rRNA from 1 species